CUCUGCAAAAACCCAGGCUGUACAUGAUUUUGACAUAUUCAUUUUCAGAUUGAUUUAGGUGAAACUGUCCCAGGUGGUUUUUGUGGCAGUGCUUCAAUAUCUCUUGCAAGGAUGACGUUCAAGGUCAAGUUGCAAAAAGGUCCACCAAUUUCACCAAAUAAGAAGGGCACGCUACUUGAGUCAUUUCUGCAUUUUGUCAUGAUAAGUCAAACGUCAAAUCUCAUUGAGCAGUAGUUGACGAUCCGAUCAGCUGUGUGUGACGAUCGAGUACAUUUUAAAUAGUUGAAAAAGCGGUGUGUUUUUCAGGAUGUGCGGCUACACGAACUCAAUCUAGUUAUUCUGCCUUUUAGGACCGAUAGAAUCAAUCGACAACCGACCAAAAUGAGGGCGGCUACGGUGUACGUUGGCGUGUUUUUCUGUUUAGUCGCUCAAGCCGAGCCAGCCGUGCAGGCAGGCGGCAGCAAAGGAAUGUUAAAGCUAGUCAAAAACGACGCUACCUGCCCUUCUUGCUGUCUCGUCUCGUCUCGUCUCGUCUCGUCCUUCCUUCUCGGUUCCUGGCCGCCGUCCAGUGAAUGCCAAUUUCUGGAUAACUUUGUUAUGGGUGGUCGUUGCAGAUUUUUACCUUUGCAUGAAUGAUCAGUAGACAGUGUAUUUAAUAAGUGUCGCGCUCCAGUUUUCUGACGUCAGGCGGGUUUGGGCGCCGGCGGUGCAUUCAGGCAACCAGGAAGGGGGGGAAAUGAAGCGGAAGGACGGCAACAGGAAGCGGGGGCGCGAGAUGCGUUCAAAGCACAUCAGAUCUUCCAGCCUUUUUCAGAUGGAGACGUCACUGGGAGUUCACAUACUUUUCUGCUCCCUCUACCAAUGCUGAUCCUGAUGAGUGCACAAAGCCCUUGCACGCCCCAAAAAGAGUGAAGUUGUACAUUUCUAAUAAAAACGAUGUCAGUCAUUUAUUCUAAGUUUGUACCGCAAAAGUGAUCGUUAGUGCCGUUAUCAUUUUUGAGAUAUUAAUGAUUCUUAUAUAGAACACGUUUCCUGAGCAAAACGUGGACGGCGCCAUCUUGGAAAAGUCCUGCUCCGAACUUGUGUUUUAGAACGGACAACAUGAAUUGCGGUUGAAGAAAGCAGUGUGUUGACAAAGUUACUGCAAAAUCAAAUGGAUUCAGCACGACGUAGAUGAGCCUUUCUGUGCUGUGCGUGGAAGCGCCUAUAUACGAUAUAUGGUUUAAAGUGGAAUGUUUUGAACGGUGAUCAGGAGUAAAUAAUAUUAAAGAUCAUCAUCAUCGUAAUAACAAUAUCAAAGGCGACAAGUCAUUUCAUGCGAAACAUUUUAGCUUGAGUAUUUGUGAGCACCGGACACAUGGAAAUGCAGGGACAGGAAGAACGUACCUUCCAUAACACAGGGGCAACAUGGCUAGAAAAACACCCGGUCUUUGUGGUGGCACGAGCUUGCUUCCACAUCUGCCUUCAUGAACAUGUUGUCCUCCCCUGUUGCGAUGAUGGCAGAUGGAUGCGGUAUUUCCAAAUCGUCUUUUUUAAGGGAUUUUGACAAGUGAUCUUACUCCAUCUCCACUGUUGUUUUGGAUGAAGAAAUUCUAAAACGAAGUUGAGAGCAGGAAUGGGGAAGUACCUCAGAAACUUGUCUGUCGGUCCAUGUUGGGUCACCGGCCCCAAAACCCCGCCACACACAGACACACAUUGUCCGAUUCACUCCAAACUGGUUUUUGUUUUUGCUAUUAUGGAUUUUGAGAUGUUAACGUUUCUUUUUUUUUUUUUAAAUCAUGUGACGUAACAGUCAUUCGCCCUCACAUGGUUUCAAAAGCUAGUUAUAUCAAAAGUCAUUGUUUGUUAUUGUGACUAUUUCUAAUGAUCAUGGUUUUUCAUUUUUUUCUAAUAAAUAAAUAUUACAAAUUGGCAGUACAUUUGCACAAUACUGUAUAGCCAUAGCAUUACGGUUCUAAUUUUCUUAAUUAGUGAAACAAUCGCUGACGCCCAUGACAAAGCAACCGUUGAGCAAGUCAUUGCUAUUUGAAGGUGCACGCUUCAUUGACUACUCUGUUAUGUUUAUGGAAUCGGGGGCCGCAGGGGCAAGAGGGGGCAGUGCUCCUCUCAAAUGAAUGUCUUGCCCCCUCAAAGCAAAAAUGUAAAAGUUCCCCACAUAUGAUGCCCCCUUCACAUUUCUGACUACCUACAAGCGGCCCUGUAUGGAAUGGUAUUCCCAUCAAAUGUCAACACAACUGAUAACGCCCAUCCCGAUCGGCUCCCCUUGACUGCAACUGCUGCAAGUGGGAUCACAAGACCUAAUUCCAUUGUUUAUCAUUCAUUUUCCAUGCCACUUUUCCUCACGAGGGUUGCGGAGGUGCUGGAGCCUAUCCCGGCUAUCUACGGGCAGUAGGCGUGGCACACCCUGAGUUGGUUGGUUGGUUGGUUGGUUGAUCAUUUUUGAACAACAGAUUGUGUAUUGCAGGCUUGCAGCGAUUAGAUUUAAACAGUGCUGGCCUACAUGAUGUGUUGAUUUUUUUAUUUAUCAACUCCCGCAACUUUGUUAAUAGUGUGCAGCCAAAGGCGUUCGCAACGGUCCCUGUCCAUUAGUUGACUGAAAAAUGAUCUCUAUUUGAAAGCACAAAUGCACCUUUAAUGGCCCUUAUUUAACCGCAAGGGUCCAUUAGUGGCAUUGCCAUGUAGAAGGACGUUAUUAACAAAUAACAACUUGAAGAUCAAAUGGAUUUUGGUCAAGUGCAUUAAGAGGCCAAGUGACCCGCCUUCCUUCAUACGGCCAAUCAAUAUAGUUUAGUGUCCACUGUGAGCCGGGUGAGGCAGUCAACACUGCUGGAGAAGCUCAAGACGACGGACUCGCAUGGAGAUCUCAAAGGAUUGCAUGUCCAACUUGGAGAGCGGCAUGGUCACCAUUAUACGAGCGUUUAAGAAAUAUUCGGGUGAAAAGGGUCACUUGAAAAAAGCCGAGCUCAAGGCGCUCAUCCACAACGAGAUGAGUCAUUUCAUAAAGAAAAUGCACAAGAAGGAACUAGAUGAGCUCUUUGCCAACCUGGAUCAGAACAGCGACCUGGAGAUUGACUUCAAGGAGUUUGUUGCCUUUAUCGCCAUGGUCACUUCAGCAUGCCAAGAACUCUUCACCCCAUUUCAUGAAAGUCUGGCGUGCGGCGUGUAAGGUACUUCGAUCAGGUGGCCGGCGCCGGGAUAUGACAAACGUGUAUACAGGAGCAGGCUGCAUGGCCCAGAAGAGACCCAUCGGUUCACAUCCCAAAUACGAACCACCCACGGAAUGAUCCCUAGUCACUGUUAAUGUCACAAGAGAAAAGAAUGUCAGAAGAGGCAUGAUGGAAUACAGUAUCUCAAGCGGUCGCAUGUAUUAUAGAGAAAUAGAUUUUGGGCCAUUAUCAUAGCUAAAUCAGUGAAAACACCGUAUUCAUUUACUGUCAUUGAACUGCACUUUUUCUGGCUGUUUUUCAAAUGUUCAUUUCUUUGGUCAAGCUCUAAAGAUAUGUCAUACGAAUGGCUUUCUUUCAUUAAAGAAAUUCUACUCAAGUAUUCAGUGUGACUCACAGUCGACAGUGCCAUCCGCACUUGUGUUAUAGUGGCCAAAAGCCUCCCACAGGUCACCGUCCUCGCUGCGCAUUUGGGCGCACAAUGUCACCGGAUGGCGAGGUGGCAGAAAAUCCGCCUUGAUGCCGAUUUGCUCGUCCACCAGGCCUCGAGUCGGAGCGGCUGUUAGUACAGGAACUAGAGUGGAACCGGUCUUCCGCCGGAUCGCUGGCAGGGACAAAUACUGUACGUCACGUUCAGCGUAAACAUUUAAUCCAGCCUUAAGGGAGCUCUAUACUGUAUGUAUAACAGCUCCAGGCGGACAUCACGGCGGUGGACAAAGCGCAGAAGAGAGUGACGGUGACAGUUGUGGCAAUACCAGCCGAUGCCAACAUCAGAAACACGAGAAGAUAGCAAGGGUUGAAAGGCGAAGGCUCGCGUGGUAGAGGGAGCGCUCGGGCCAGUCGCCCCCGAGCUGUGAAAAUGGCUCCGGCAGAUCCCAGGAACGACAUCUGAAGCCUCAAUACAGAAAAGUGCAGUCCCAGAAACUGCGCUGAACCCUUAGACUUCCAGGCAUCUGGUAGAAGACCAGGGCUUGAUGAUGACAAGGAUGCCAUCCCGCGAGUUUUUUUUUUUUUUUAAAUAUACCGUAUAUUCCACCCUAUUCUCCCCACUAUAAGGCGCACCUAAAAGCCUUCCAUUUUCUCAAGUGUGCCUCAUAAUCCAAUGCACUUGCUAUAUGGAUCAAUAUUGGUUAAUUAUGGCAUGACAUUCCCUUCAUGUAGUGGUCAGGGUUGCGUUACGCAUCCACUAGUACUACUACUGCAUCUUAUAAUUCGGUGUGCCGUAUAUUUUAAAAUAGCCCAUUCAUUAAAGGUGUGUCUAGUACUCCGAUGCUGCAGAAAUUAAAUACAGUAGUAUGAAAAAGUAUCUGAACCUUUUGGAAUUUCUCACAUUUCUGCAUAAAAUUUAUGUUUAAAUAAAUUUAUGUUAUUUAGCAGCCAAAAUAAAUAUAGUCACGUACAGAUACAGAUAGAUGGGGUGAAUAUUGAAAGGGUCCAUGAAAAUAGGUUUCUUGGCGUUGUGAUUGAUGACAAGGUUAAUUGGAAAGCUCAUAUAAAACAUAUACAAAGUAAAUUAGCAAGAAGCAUUUCAGUACUGACUAAAGCAAAACACCUUCUUGAUAAUAAAUCACUCCACAUUCUUUACUGCUCUUUAAUCCUGCCAUAUUUACACUACUGUGCAGAGGUCUGGGGUAAUACUUAUAAAUGUACAAUAAAUUCACUAUCCAUUUUGCAAAAAAGAGCCAUAAGAAUAAUACAUAAUGCUGGUUAUAGGGAUCAUACUAAUAUAUUAUUUUUAGAAUCCAGAACUUUAAAACUCACGGACUUGGUUCAUUUUCAAACAGCUCAGCUCAUGUAUAAGGUUAUCCACAUGUUACUUCCUGGCAAUAUACAGAAGUUGUUUUCUAACAGAGAAGGUCAUUACAGUUUGAGAGGGGAGCUUCACUUACAGCAUCAGAGAGUGCGGACUACAUUAAAAAGCUUUUGUGUUUCUGUUCGUGGAGUAAGGCUGUGGAAUAAGUUAGAUGAGGGGCUCAAGCAAUGUCCAAGCAUGACCCAGUUUAAGAAGUGGUACAAACACAUGGUUUUCACAGGGUAUAGGGAAGAGGAAGGGUUUUAAUAUAGGGGGUUUUCACAUAUCUGUUAUUGGCUGGUACUUUUUAUUUCAUUUUAUUUUUAUUUUGUCUUGCAUCUUAUAGAUAUGGUUGCAUUAUUUCUUUGUUGAUAUGAGGCCUAAUUAAAUAAGGCGGACUGAUAUUAUUGAGGAAUAGAAAAGGGGGGGUAGGUUUUAAUAAGCAUAUGCUUCAUCCUACUCCUUUUUGGACACAAUGAAUAAAUUCUAAUAUUUAUUAUUGUUAUUGUCUUAAAUAUUGCUGCUGUUAUCUCAAGUAUUAUAAUUGGUUUGUAUUUUUGUUUGUUUGUUUGUUUAUUACUUUUAUUUUCUCAUGUCCAAAAUAAAGCAUUCUCAUUCUCUAAAAUCACCAUCAAAUGUGAUUUCAUCAUUGUCAAAAUCACAUAGAUGAAAAAAAACUGUGUCUGCUUUAACCAAAACC